UAUCCCGUNACCGAGCGCAAACCCUUGUCCUUAGUUACCAGCUACGUUAUGGUGGGCUACUCUAUAGGAGUACUGCCGGUGACAAACCGGAGGAUAGGUGGGGUAUGUACGUCUAUAGUCUAUCUAUGGCCCUUACGGCCUGGGCUUACUACUACGUGCUACAUAUGGUCGGUACAAUAGGGUUGCCAAGCCGCGUAGGUGGUAGCUAUAUCCCAUAANAACCGAUCGUAGUCCGGAUCGCUAGUCUGCAACUCGACUGCGUGAAGUCGGAAUCGCUAGUAUAUCGCGUAUAUCAGUAUAUGUCGCGGUGUANAUACGUUCCCGGGCCUUGUACACACCGCCCGUCACACCAUGGGAGUGGGUUGCACCUAGAAGUAGCUAGUCUUAACCUUCGGGAGGACGGUUACCACGGUGUGAUUCAUGACUGGGGUGAAGUCGUACAAGGUAGCCGUAGGGGAACCUGCGGCUGGAUCACCUCCUUGUAAGAACGACAGGCACAGUUNUCAGAUUUGUAAAANCAACCCGGNCUAAUGCUUAGAGCAUAACGACGCGCUAGUCGUUUUAGGUCA
rnacentral:rRNA from 1 species